rnacentral:rRNA from 1 species
UGCCAGCCGCCGCGGUAAUACGAAGGUCCCAAGCGUUGUUCGGAAUUACUGGGCGUAAAGCGCACGUAGGCGGAUCAAUAAGUCAGGGGUGAAAUCCCGAGGCUCAACCUCGGAACUGCCUUUGAUACUGUUGGUCUUGAGUUCGAGAGAGGUGAGUGGAAUUCCGAGUGUAGAGGUGAAAUUCGUGGAUAUUCGGAGGAACACCAGUGGCGAAGGCGGCUCACUGGCUCGAUACUGACGCUGAGGUACGAAAGUGUGGGGAGCAAACAGGAUUAGAUA